rnacentral:rRNA from 1 species
GAUGAACGCUGGCGGCGUGCCUAAUACAUGCAAGUCGAGCGAACAGACGAGGAGCUUGCUCCUCUGACGUUAGCGGCGGACGGGUGAGUAACACGUGGAUAACCUACCUAUAAGACUGGGAUAACUUCGGGAAACCGGCGCUAAUACCGGAUAAUAUAUUGAACCGCAUGGUUCAAUAGUGAAAGACGGCUUUGCUGUCACUUAUAGAUGGAUCCGCGCCGCAUUAGCUAGUUGGUAAGGUAACGGCUUACCAAGGCAACGAUGCGUAGCCGACCGGAGAGGGUGAUCGGCCACACUGGAACUGAGACACGGUCCAGACUCCUACGGGAGGCAGCAGUAGGGAAUCUUCCGCAAUGGGCGAAAGCCUGGCGGAGCAACGCCGCGUGAGUGAUGAAGGUCUUCGGAUCGUAAAACUCUGUUAUUAGGGGAGAACAAAUGUGUAAGGAGCUAUGCACGUCUUGACGGUACCUAAACAGAAAGCCACGGCUAACUACGUG